UACGGAGGAUCCAAGCGUUAUCCGGAUUUAUUGGGUUUAAAGGGUGCGUAGGCGGCUUAUUAAGUCAGGGGUGAAAGACGGUGGCUCAACCAUCGCAGUGCCUUUGAUACUGAUGAGCUUGAAUACACUUGAGGUAGGCGGAAUGUGACAAGUAGCGGUGAAAUGCAUAGAUAUGUCACAGAACACCAAUUGCGAAGGCAGCUUACUAAGGUGCAAUUUGACGCUGAGGCACGAAAGCGUGGGGAUCAAACAGG
rnacentral:rRNA from 1 species